CGUCCACGGCAGAGCCAAGGGGUCCUGGAGGCCGUGGGGGAAACCAGAGGGUGGGCGGUGCCAGGAUGCACACAGCAAACCGGGGCUGAGCCAGGCCUGGGACACCGAGCCCAGCCUCUCCCCUGCGGUGUGACUGUGGGUCCCAGGGUGGACGUGCCGGGGCCCCCAGCCAGUGCAGGAGAGGCCUUUGAGCAGCUUACCUGAGAAGGGCCCAUGGGGAGCUGGGACCCCCGGCCUCCGUCGCACGGGCCUGCGCUGCUCUGAGGGCCCGUCGGCAGCUGGGUCAGGGCCACGGGGAGCUGGGACCCCCGGCCUCCGUCGCACGGGCCUGCGCUGCUCUGAGGGCCCGUCGGCAGCUGGGUGCCCAGGGUCCCGAAGGCUCAGGGUGGCCCUGAGGAGGCUGGAGCUUCACCGCAUUUUUCAUAUGAGGAACCCAGCACGUCCCGCCUGCCUCCGGCCCCUGGAGGCUUUCUCAGUGACAAACCGUUUCUGUUUCUGUCUUGUUUUCUCAGACAAACGAGGGAGCAGGAGACGCCCCCUGACUUUUUUUAUUUCUCUGACUAUGAGAGGCACAAUGCGGAGAUUGCUGCCUUCCACCUGGACAGGAUCCUGGACUUCCGCCGGGUCCCUCCCGUGGCCGGCAGGAUGGUCAACAUGACCAAGGAGAUCCGGGACGUCACACGGGACAAGAAGCUCUGGAGGACCUUCUUCAUCUCGCCAGCCAACAACAUCUGCUUCUACGGCGAGUGCUCCUACUACUGCUCCACGGAGCAUGCCCUGUGCGGGAAGCCAGACCAGAUCGAGGGCUCGCUGGCGGCCUUCCUGCCCGACCUGUCCCUGGCCAAGAGGAAGACCUGGCGGAACCCUUGGCGGCGUUCCUACCACAAGCGCAAGAAGGCCGAGUGGGAGGUGGACCCUGACUACUGCGAGGAGGUGAAGCAGACACCGCCCUACGACAGCAGCCACCGCAUCCUGGACGUUAUGGACAUGACGAUCUUCGACUUCCUCAUGGGAAACAUGGACCGUCACCACUACGAGACUUUUGAGAAGUUUGGGAAUGAAACGUUCAUCAUCCACUUAGACAAUGGAAGAGGGUUUGGGAAGUAUUCGCACGACGAGCUCUCCAUCCUGGUGCCGCUACAGCAGUGCUGCAGGAUCCGGAAGUCCACCUACCUGCGUCUGCAGCUCCUGGCCAAGGAGGAGUACAAGCUGAGCCUGCUGAUGGCCGAGUCUCUGCGGGGGGACCAGGUGGCACCCGUGCUGUACCAGCCGCACCUGGAGGCCCUGGACCGGCGGCUCCGCAUCGUGCUAAAGGCCGUCCGGGACUGCGUGGAGAGGGACGGGCUCCACAGCGUGGUGGAGGAGGACCUGGACACUGGGCACAGAGCCGCCUCGGCGAGGUAGUGUCCGCCGGCCGCUGCGCUGCCCGGGACGGAGACAGAGGGGCCGGACCUCCCAGCAAGCGCUGCCCGGGAUGGAGACAGAGGGGCCGGACCUCCCAGCAAGCGCACGCGCCCGUCGUGAAUUCAGUGAAUUCAGAGGCAGGACGGGAUCAUCCGGAGUCGGGAGCUGCUGCCACAGGAGGCGAGGCUCCCCAGGUCUCACAGGACACAUUUUGUCAGUGUUUGACCAGAAAAGCUUGGGAAGGAAGCGCUGUCUGUGCUCACGGACAGAGGCGGCCGGCGCCGGAGGCAUUCCAUCCUUUCUGUAGGGAAAGGAGCCUUUAUUUACUAUUUUGUAUUUAUAUAUGAUGAAUAAGUAUAUAAACAGAGACGUGUACGCAGACGCCAAUCACCUACCAAACCAAACACGAGGACCGCCCUCCCUGGUUCUGGGGGCCCCUCAAGGCCAAGCUCACCCCUCAAGUGCUCUCACACUCGGGACCUAAUUCAAGUAAAAACCCUUUCUCCUUCCUGGGGCCUCGGCUCCUGGAGGGCUGGAGGGUCUCGUCUGAGGACGGGAGGAGGCUCUCGCUGGACGUCUGGCCUGUGCGCUGGUGGACGGAUGCCUACGCGGUUUUGGAGGACCCGAUGACCAGGCGUCCUGCGAGUCCGCCCGCUGGCCUGCAGCGCCCACCUCGGACUUGGCUGUGGACGGUUGGUGCAAGUGCAUCCUGCAGGGCUGGCUGUGCGCAGCUGUGGGCUGACCUUUGCAGAGUUUUGUGGAAUAGUUUGCAAUGUGAUAAAAGUGCAAUAAAGGUACAGCAGAUGUG
rnacentral:sRNA from 1 species